rnacentral:rRNA from 1 species
UACGAAGGGUGCAAGCGUUACUCGGAAUUACUGGGCGUAAAGGGUGCGUAGGUGGUUUGUUAAGUCUGCUGUGAAAUCCCCGGGCUCAACCUGGGAAUGGCAGUGGAUACUGGCAAGCUAGAGUGCGGUAGAGGGUAGUGGAAUUCCCGGUGUAGCAGUGAAAUGCGUAGAGAUCGGGAGGAACACCAGUGGCGAAGGCGGCUACCUGGACCAGCACUGACACUGAAGCACGAAAUCGUGGGGAGCAAACAGG